rnacentral:rRNA from 1 species
CCAGCAGCCGGGGUAAUACGGAGGAUCCAAGCGUUAUCCGGAAUCAUUGGGUUUAAAGGGUCCGUAGGCGGCUUUAUAAGUCAGUGGUGAAAUCUCCCGGCUCAACCGGGAAAUGGCCAUUGAUACUGUAAGGCUUGAAUUAUUAGGAAGUUAACUAGAAUAUGUAGUUGUUAGCCGGUUGAAAUUGCCUUAGAGAUUUACAUGGAAAUUAACCCAAUUUGGCGAAGGCCGGUUUAACUUAACUAAAUGGAUUUGACCCCCCUGAUGGAACGAAAGCCCGUUGGUUUCGCCAAACAGGAUUAAUUCCCCCCUGGUUUUUUCCCCC